GUAUGUUUUUGGGAGCAGUCCACCUUGUUCUGUUGUCCAGAAAAUGUCACUUAGCUUCAUCCCUGCAGGGAGUAUUUCUACAGUUAACAAGAGAUAAAACAAGGGCUUUUUGAUCAAAGAAGUGGAAGGACCUGGAUAAACAAUUUGAAAAAGGAGCAGAAAAAAAAAAGUCACAGGAUAAGGUCAUUUUCACUGCAUUUCAGUGUUCUGCCGAUUCUGGACUGAGGAUUAAUCUCUUUCUUCUAACUGGAUUAAUGCCACUGAGUCAAACC